rnacentral:rRNA from 1 species
GAUGAACGCUGGCGGCGUGCCUAAUACAUGCAAGUAGAACGCUGAAGGAGGAGCUUGCUCUUCUGGAUGAGUUGCGAACGGGUGAGUAACGCGUAGGUAACCUGCCUGGUAGCGGGGGAUAACUAUUGGAAACGAUAGCUAAUACCGCAUGACAACAGUUAUUGCAUGAUAACUGUUUAAAAGGGGCAACUGCUCCACUACCAGAUGGACCUGCGUUGUAUUAGCUAGUUGGUGAGGUAACGGCUCACCAAGGCGACGAUACAUAGCCGACCUGAGAGGGGGAUCGGCCACACUGGGACUGAGACACGGCCCAGACUCCUACGGGAGGCAGCAGUAGGGGAUCUUCGGCAAUGGACGGAAGUCUGACCGAGCAACGCCGCGUGAGUGAAGAAGGUUUUCGGAUCGUAAAGCUCUGUUGUAAGAGAAGAACGAGUGUGAGAGUGGAAAGUUCACACUGUGACGGUAUCUUACCAGAAAGGGACGGCUAACUACGUG